CUGUCUCGUUUUGGCAGAGGAGUCGUCAGUGAUGAUUGUGGCUUGGUCGUUCAUCUAGAGUGGCUAGGUGCGCCGCGUUUUGUGGCCAUUUCGCCAGGGUUUGCAGCUUGGAGCCUCCGGAACGUGAUUAGUUGCCGAGGGCCGUCGCAACGAUUGGGGCCGUGGAAAUGGAAGUAAAAUUAGAGAUUGGGUACAUUUGGUGGGAGGUACAUUAGGUGGAAGCUAAUCUGGUGGUACGUUUUGUAACCCUUUGUUUUUGAAACAUAGCAACGGAAGAGCCGCGGGUUUAGUGUCGUCGUUGUUGUUGCUGCUGGCUUCACUUUUAGAUACUGUUGCGCGCGAGUUACCACC